GGUUACAGGGAUAAAUCCCAGCUGAGUCAGGCAAUGGGAAAAUAGGUCCCUUUUGUUUAGCAGCACAUAACAAGAUUCCAGGAGCUUACACAUUUUGUUGAAAAAAAGUCACAGGAAGAGACAGGUUGGGACAGACGAGGUUAAAAAAGUUAUUUAAGGUCAUUUGGCAGCUUAAUGGCAGAGCUGAGGAUGGAGCAAGGUCAGUGACUCACUCUCCAAGCUGAAUUUCAUCCCCUAAUUAUUGAGGAAGUUUCUUGGCCUUGGGCACGACUGAGAGAGGGGAAAGGCAGCCCCCCUGCAGGGGGCUGAGCACAGAGGAGGCAGGGUGCAUGCCAGCAUCAAAGAGGAUGGUUGGAAAGAAAAUGCAUCUGCAGAUGAGGGUUCUGCACAUUCCCACUAAGAGGAAUACUGUCAGGAAAGAAGAGGAGAGAGUGGGAGCCCAUGACAUGAUAUUGAACCUGAAAUGUAGGAAUCAAAAAUCAUCUGCAAUAGAAUUUAUGGGAGAAUUCGGGAUUUACACCCAGAAGCCACAAUUACACACACAGAAAAUUAUUAUUUCCUUCUCCCUCUCCAGGAGGCUGGCACUUGGCUUUCUUCUGCGAUUCCCUGGCACCAUCACAUCCAGAAAGAAGACUGGCCCAGGUUUAGCACUAGUGAAGCAUUCUAUAGAGCAGCAAGUAACUUAAAUAUGAACUCAGAAGAAAAAGUGGUUAACAAUAUAUUCUGAGGUUUAGAACAGGAAGAGAAGGAAAGGCCCUUUAGAUCACUGAAAUGCUUUUUUUCCCAGAUGAUUUUAUAGGCAUCAAAAUGUUUUCUCAGCCUCUUUCUGGCUGCUACUUAAAUUGUGGAAACUUAAUCUCUGUGCCUGACAGUCUCUUUUGUUGUACUCACAAUUUCAGGGGACCUGCAGGGGAAAAAAAUUCUUCCUAAUUCCCAAAUUAUGCACUAUCUGCCUGCAUGUAAAUAAUGACCCAGUUAAAAAAAAAAAAAAAAAAGGCAUUUUCUUACCUGCAAGGGGAUGCAAGGCAGCUGAGAGGCAGCUUGUCCAUUCUGCUCUGAGCUUGGGUAUUUGGGUGAGCAGAAGGGCAGAGGAACUGGUCUGACAGCACAGGGCAGCACCCGGGCAGCCUCAAGCUUUGGCCUUGUUCUGCACUUUAACAGCUUCUGUCCAUCACCAUUCCUGAGCCUGGCAUCCAAGAAAGGUUCACUGUUCUUCACUCAGUUCUCUCCCUGGGUUUCUGUCCGUGAUCAUUCCUGAGCCUGGCAUCCAAGAAAGGUUCACUGUUGUACACUCAGUUCUUUCCCUGAGGAGGUGCCACUUGAGCAGGAAAGAGAGGGGUCAGGAUUCAGGUUAAGCACCGUGGGGAUUAGAUGGUAGCAGCUGAGGAAGCUCUGCAAGGCUCUGAUAUCAACAGCCAGGGGCUGGCUGCCUGUGAGGUUAUGGUCCCAGUGCUGGUGCCUUGCUUGGAUUUUGGUUUUCACCCCACUCUGCAUGAGCUGGAAAGUGAAAUGGAUGUGAAGUGGAGAGAGCAGUGGAACCCAACGUCUUGGCUAAGGCAUGAACAACCCCAAACUUUGAAUCCAUUCCGAGCCAUGAGUCCUGUCCUGAUCCAAGGUAUUUGAGAAAAUAAAAUGAGGUAUUUGGAGACAAUGUUGGAAGAUAUUUCACAGACGUGUUUUAACCUACAACUCUUCAACUCCUCUAAGGCAGGAUCAGCUGGUCUCAUGAACACUUAAAUCAUUCCUGCCUCAGCUGUUUAUGAGACCCUCCUGUGGUGGAGGUUUCACAGAUUCUUGAACAAGAUUUCCUAGCACAAAAUUAAUCACUUCAGAAGUCUCCUAGGGUAGCCAACCUUAAGUUCUCUUAGUGGGGUGGAAACCAAUUACUCUUUGUCCUAUCAUCAGUGCACAUGAAGAGCUGUUUGUCUUUCUCUCAUCUGCAGCUGCUUUGUAAGUUCAUUUCAGUCCUCUUAUGUGAAGAUUAAAUAAACCAUGUUUCUGCACAUCUUGUUUUCUACAGCUCUGACUGUGCUUUUUGUCCUUUUUCUGAACAUCCACGACUGGUCUAGUUGAUAAAGCUGAUUUAGGAAAGAGGAGAAAACAAAUAAUAAAUACUUUGAUAUCCUCUUAAGAUCAAAAUGGACUGAAUGGAAAAUGGACAGUAAAUUAAAGAAGUCAAUACUAGGCCCCCCUCACUGACCACCUUUUCUCCUGCCCAGGCAUGCUGUGCACAUCCAUGCAGCUCCUUCUCCUUUUACUCCAGCAGCUGUGGGGUUUGUCAGCCCUUUUGUGGCAAUUACUUUAAUUCUCUGAAAUCAAAGCACCUGCCAGAGAAGUUGCUUGUUUUACAAAUCCAAAGCCUACUGAAACAUUUUAAGGAAAACAGUCGUUUCAUUCUCUGAAGAUACAGAUCUUCUCCUGAGUCAGGGAGAGAAGAUAAAGGGGGAAAGUUUGACAUUUGACUUCACUCUGGAAUGCAGGGGUUUGGACUUGAAUUUCCUUGUGAGUCCCUUCCAAUUCAGAUAUUCUGUGAUCUUGGUAUCAAACUGCAAUGGAGCUGGUGCCAGAGAAGAGCACCUAAUGGGCCACUGAGUCUUCUUGAUGGUUUUGAAAUACUCACAUCCUUUUGCUUUUGAAGAUACAAACUUUUCCACUGACUCCAGAAGGCUGUGGGAUUUGGGCUUCACUUACUGAAAUAACCAAGAGAAGAUACCCUGAUUUUUGCAGUGUUAAUUAUAAGUCACAACUUUUUAUUCCUUGAAAUUUUAUCAUAACUGGUAAAAUCUUGGGUGUCAGUGUCCUCGUGCUUCAUUGAAUAUUUUUUGGAUAUAAGCUGCCUGUUGGUCUGUUCUUAAAAACAACAAUUGAAUUUGAUUGUGUUCUUUAGAGGAAAAGUGAAAUUUCAGAGACAUCAUAUCCGUUUGUCCAUGAUUUAUCCUGAAAACUUGUUAUGCAAGUGGUGACUAACUGUGCCAGUAAACAGAGAGGGAACAAUUUUCCAGUUUUGAUUGGGUUAUUUUCAAAUUUACUGUAUGAAGAUGAACCCACUGCUCUGAGCUCAAUAGAAAUGGCUCCCCUCCAGCUGAAACAUUCAUCAAGCUCCAUAUGGACACUGCCUUGUUUGGGUUUGGAGAAAACCAUCCAGGAGCUUGUCAGAAUGAGAGCUGCACAGUUCCUACUAAAAUUUCAGGUUGAUCAAUGGUACAGGGUAUCCCUCUUCAGAGUGCUCUCUUUAAAUUCAAGUGUUUUAAUUUUUUUGUUGAACCUCAAAAGAAGCAGCCUGAUAGCAAAAGCUCCUCCAAAGUCUGUUAUGGAAGCACUUGUGCUUCAGCCUUGGAGGCAGGGCAUGUGGAGAAAUGGGGAUGUGCACACAGUUUGGUAUUCCUGACAUUCCUCACAGCAAAGGCUGAGCAUGGAGGGGUUUGGGGGACAGGUGAGAAAUCUGGGAACACUUUUUAAUGAGUGUUGGAUCUUGUUUCCUUGGUGGACUGAGUUUAAGUGUUGCUCAGUCAAUUUUUUGGCAUGAUAGUUAUCAUUUUCAGUGGGGACUUGGAGUAGUGGCUAAAACAAAGGGAAUACACCUGCAAUCCCUGUGAGAGGUCACAGUAUACAAUUUGAAGAGCAAGAACAAAAUGAACACUCAGAAAAAAACCUGGAGAAUUUUUUAGUUAAACUGAUAGAGGUAUUUUAAAUUGAAAAAUGAGUAGAAAUGCCCAGACAUCUUUAAGUAAUGGGGGAACAGGCAAAGGAACUUUGUUAAUACAGAAUUCUUUAACUUUACUAGAAUUUAUUUAAUGUAAACUCCUCAACAGUGUUGUGACUGUCUGCGAGAUUUCAGAGUGCCUUGGCUCUGCUUUCCCAUUGCUAUGCCUGGCUGAAUGUGGAAAAUACACUGGGAGCAAGGAUUUCUCUGACUAAACACAUUUGUGUGAAUUUUCUCCCAUCUAUAACUAGCUUUCACAGUGAAAAUUGAAUUCUUUUUCAUGAAACAAAGUCUUGUUGCCUCGGGGAUAAAGACAGUUUUCAGAUUGCAAUUCAUAAUUCAGUCUGCAGCAGACUGGGUUUGACCAUGAGGACCCUCCUGGGGACCAUUUUCAUCUUUGUAGCCUGUGGGCUCUCUUCUCCGGGCAGCAACUAUUUAUUCAAUUUCUGAAAUAAGUGAGGAAGGAGGGGAUGGGACCAGUGUUCCUGAGCUGAAAAUGCCCAGCUGAUGGAUUGUGAACAGGAGAAUUAAUUUCUGCACACUGCUCUCGCUGGAUUCCCAGAGGGCUGCCUUGCCUGAAAUGUAAUACAGUCACAGCAAUUGUAAAAAAAAUGUGUCAGAAAACACCAUUUAAAUUAGGCUCAGUUAUGGCUUUGAAAGCAAAACACAUCUUGCAGUAGUUCCUGAGUAGUCUCCUGUUCUUUGCAAAGUGCAGGCUGUGAGAGGGCUCUGAUAUUCGGGUUUUUACAGAUGAUUUACCCCCAAACCCUCCCUCUAAUAAUAAAUUUACUGUGCUGAGCAUCUGCUUCAAUGGCCUGAACCAAAGACUGUUGGAAUCAAUGAGGAGCUUCUCCUGCCUCAGUCAGCUCUGGUAGAAGGCCUAAGAGAGACAUCAUGGGAGUUCCUGAGCAUUUUAGGUGUUAUUUACAGUGGUCUGCUGCUGGGGGAGCACUAAAUCACAGAGUUAUUAAUCUGCAGGGGAAUUUAAAUGGCAGCCUGCUCUGCUGCUCACACAGCUACAAUACCUUUCCUGUUGCAAUGAUUCAUGACAGGUCAAGGGAGCACAUGCAGUGGAAAUACAAUUCAUUGUGUUUUAUCACUUGUCAAGUCUUAUAAACUCAGGGGUUGGGGAUUUUUUUUAUUUUAUUUUGGGAUAUUCUCAUUUUAUUCUGGUUGACAGCUAUGUGGAGAACUAGAGAGUAUCUUCAUGUAAGAAAAUAGUGCUGGAUGCUCUUCUCAUCUUAAAAUUUAGUAUAUUUUUCAUUUGAAGGCUGUUUCUGCUUACCUCUUUGAGCCCUGGUAUCUCUGGGAAUUGUGCUUGAGAAAGGAAUGCAGCUCAAGCCUUUCCAGGUCCCAGUGGCCAAACUGCUAUGGAAUGGGAAGGGGACAAUCAGCCUUGCCAAAAAAAUUGUUUAACUAAGAGAAGGGCCAGAUUUAAGCUCCAAGAGAAGAAAUCUUCCAUCCAUGGAGUGUUUUCACACCACUCCUGCUGUGCUGCUGUCCCUUGAGCCAUUUUCAGUGUUUCCAAAGUAUUUUUUCACUCCUGAUUCUAGCUUUGGACAAUUUCCUGACCCUCUGCUUACAGCUGCCUUUCCCCAGGGAGAAGGGUCACCACAAGCUGCUCCUCAGGCAGGAUUUGCUUGGUCCUUCAUCACCUGCUUAACCUGGAUGGGAGCAUGGUGCAGUACUGUCCCCUGGGCUAGAAACUGCUGUGAUGAACAUCAUUGUCUGGGAACCUGCUGGGAAAGGCAGCAAGAGAACAUCUUGUUUUCCAGGAACAGGGUGGCAGGGAGGAUCUCCACAUGCUCUGCAGGGCACUGCUGUGAACCAGCUUUACCAAGCAGCUUUAGAUUCCUCUUGGUAAGCAGCAGCCCAGGCUGUCUCUGCUGAGAUUUCCUGCAGCACCACGAGCUGCAGCACAGUUCAUGUGUCACCAGCUAAAAUUGUGCUGCACCUUGUUCUGGUUCAAGCACAAAGUACCACAUGGUGAUAAAACUGUUGUCAGACACCCUCAGCACAGACUCCAGGUUGAACUUAAUGCCAGACUUUAUUCUGGACUCACCUCACAAAGCUGGAGCCCUUUAGGA